rnacentral:lncRNA from 1 species
UAAGUCUAACUGCAGGAACAAUUAGGCUCCUCAACCAAACAUUAGUUUACUCAUAGAUCCAAGGGUGAAGGCUGCUCUGCCAGUUAAUAGGGCCAUCAGGGAACCACAAGGCGAUUUCUUUCUGGGCACUCUCAACUGAGUCACUUCCAUGGAUGAUAUUCCUGCAAAGAGAAUACUCAGGACAUAAAAUAUUUUAACAUCCAAAUGCUAAGCUCAUUGAUAAUUUAACUUGCUUCGAAUUAAUCAAUAACCACAAAUGAAAGAAGCGCUAAUUUAAUAAAUAA